CGGGGCGUAGCGCAGCUUGGUAGCGCAUCUGGUUUGGGACCAGAGGGUCGGGGGUUCAAAUCCCUCCGCCCCGACCA
rnacentral:tRNA from 1 species